rnacentral:rRNA from 1 species
AAAUUGAAGAGUUUGAUCAUGGCUCAGAUUGAACGCUGGCGGCAGGCCUAACACAUGCAAGUCGAACGGUAGCACAGAGAGCUUGCUCUCGGGUGACGAGUGGCGGACGGGUGAGUAAUGUCUGGGAAACUGCCUGAUGGAGGGGGAUAACUACUGGAAACGGUAGCUAAUACCGCAUAACGUCGCAAGACCAAAGAGGGGGACCUUCGGGCCUCUUGCCAUCAGAUGUGCCCAGAUGGGAUUAGCUAGUAGGUGGGGUAACGGCUCACCUAGGCGACGAUCCCUAGCUGGUCUGAGAGGAUGACCAGCCACACUGGAACUGAGACACGGUCCAGACUCCUACGGGAGGCAGCAGUGGGGAAUAUUGCACAAUGGGCGCAAGCCUGAUGCAGCCAUGCCGCGUGUAUGAAGAAGGCCUUCGGGUUGUAAAGUACUUUCAGCGGGGAGGAAGGUG